AUAUUUUAUUAUGCUGGGAGGGCAUAUCCGCCGAAUUUAAGCAUAUAAUUAAGCGGAAGAAAAGAAAAUAACAAUGAUUCCUUUAGUAACGGCGAGUGAACAAGGAAAAGCUCAAAAGGAAAAUCCGCUUUGUGGUUAAAACCGCAGUGUGGAAUUGUCUGGUUGGGAUUUAGUCCUUUCUAUGUUUUUGUUGGGUGCGAAAUUAGUAGGAAUACUAUUCCUUAGAGGGUGAAAGGCCCGUAGUUCCUAACAAUUAUAGAUGGACUGUUUCCUGUAGAGUCGUGUUCUUUGAGAUUGGAGCACAAAUGUGUGUGAUACAUUUCACAUAAAGCUAAAUAUUUGUAGGAGACCGAUAGCAAACAAGUACCGUGAGGGAAAGAUGAAAUAGUACUCAGGAAUGAGGUUUAAAUAGUACCUGAAAUCGUUAAGAUGGAACGGAUUGAGAGAGAAAUAACGUAAGAUGGGAUUUAUUUCUAUGUUUCUUUUGGAUUCAUGUUUUAAUUUCUAUCUUAUUAAAAGGAGCAUCAGUGAAUUUUUGCAUUUGCAUUAUAGUUAAAGGGUUAUUUUUGCUUAUGUAAAGAUAUCGCAUUUCCUUCCGCUAAUAUGGUUGGAAAAAUAACUAUUAUUGCUUGCUAUGUUUACUGAGGAUAUCAAUUAGCUGGGGUUGCCCCUGUUAAUUUAUGUUGCUUCUAAAAAGUACUUUCUUAACCCACUCGUCUUGAAACACGGACCAAGGAGUCUAACAAAUGUGCGAGCGUAUAUAUGUUACGAACUAUAACAGAGAAUGAAAAUUCUUAUAUUUACGCGUAAUUAAUGUAAUUAAUUGGUAGAUCUUUAGGGUGUUUCCCUAAUUUGCAUACCAUGCCGGUUGGCGAUUAUGCUUAAUUGAGUAUGAGUAUAUUUGUUAGGACCCGAGAGGCUUUGAACUAAGCGUGAUGAGAUUGAAGUCAGACGAAAGUCUGAUGGAGGAUCGAAUUGAUACUGACGUGCAAAUCGUUCAUUUCAAUCACGUUUAGGGGCGAAAGACUAAUCGAAAAGCCUAUUAGCUGGUUAUUUUCGAAAGAUCUCUCAGGAUCGCUGGAGUUGAUUAAUAUAGUUUUACGAGGUAGAGAUAAUGAUUAGAGGAAUCAGGGAAAUCGUUUUCCUUGACCUAUUCUCAAACUCCCAAUACGUAAUAAGGGAUUAAUAUCUUUAUUGUAUUUUUCCCACUAUAAAUAAGAUAACUCCAAGUGGGCCAUUUUUGGUAAGCAGAACUGGCGAUGAGGGAUGCUCCUAACGCUUGGAUAAGGUGCCUAAAUAUUCGCUCAUGAGAUCCCAUAAAAGGUGUUGGUUCAUAAUGACAGUAGGACGGUGGUCAUGGAAGUCGAAAUCCGCUAAGGAGUGUGUAACAACUCACCUACCGAAUGAACUAGCCCUGAAAAUGGAUGGCGCUAAAGCGGAUUACCGAUACCAAGCCAUAGAAAGAGAUUUAAGGGUUAUUUGGGUUCGUCCCUAUUAAUCUUUUUUUGAAUCUUUCUAUGAGUAGAAAAUCGUGGGGUUUGUGUAGAAGCAAGAUGCGUGAGCUCUUGUGGAACAUAUCCCUAGUGCAGAUCUUGGUGGAAGUAGCAAUUAUUCAAAUGAGAACUUUGAAGACUGAAGUGGAGAAGGGUUUCUUGUCAACUGUGAUUGUACAAGAGUUAGCCGCUCCUAAGGGAAAGCUGAAAUGCGUUUAAUUGGGGAUUCGAUGUCAUAGGCAACUAUGACCUCUCUCCCCGUCCCGAAAGGAAACAGGUUGAUAUUCCUGUGCCGAUAGUAAUUUGGGUAUUUGAGAUGGUAACAUAUAUAUAAAUGAACUCCUUUACGUAGGUCUUACACUCGGGGUGCGUUUUCUUUGCACUUUAACUUUAUAGCCGACCUUGGAAUCAAUUUAGUUGGAGAAGAGGUUUGCUGAAUUCAAUUCGGGGUAAUCUGCUAUGAAUGAAGUAAUUUGUUCUUGUAUGAUUCCCUGUUUUGAGUAAUAGUAAUUCAUUUUUAUGGAUUAUCCGAAGCCGUAAGGACUACCCUUGAAAAAAGGAGGGAACAGCAAGAGGUGAGUUUUACUCAUUUCUUGUCGCCCUGAUUUACUUGUAUGAGCGUACCAACAACCGCAUCAGGUCUCCUAGGUUAACAGCCUCUGGUUAAAUAGAAAAAAGUAAGUAAGGGAAGUCGGCAAAAUAGAUCCGUAACUUCGGGAAAAGGAUUGGCUCUGAGGACAUAUGAGUAGAGAUGUUUAAAUUAACGUUUGAAAAAUGAUAUAAAGAAAGCAUUUUGGUUCGCCAUUGUGCUUUUAUUUUAUUUCGUUUAUCUUAUGUUUUUUUUAUUCUAUCCCUCUACUCGCCGCUGUUUUGGCGUUACUUCGGUUGCGUCAUUAUGGCUCUAUCAUGUUAACUCAGAACUGAAACGGACAAGGGGAAUCCGACUGUUUAAUUAAAACAUAGCAUUGUGAAAGCCACAAAUGGUAUUAACACAAUGUGAUUUCUGC
rnacentral:rRNA from 1 species